rnacentral:rRNA from 1 species
CGGCAGGCUUAACACAUGCAGUCGAGCGGUAGCACGGGGGAGCUUGCUCCCCGGGUGACGAGCGGCGGACGGGUGAGUAAUGUCUGGGAACUGCCUGAUGGAGGGGGAUAACUACUGGAAACGGUAGCUAAUACCGCAUAACGUCGAAGACCAAAGAGGGGGACCUUCGGGCCUCUUGCCAUCAGAUGUGCCCAGAUGGGAUUAGCUAGUAGGUGGGUAAUGGCUCACCUAGGCGACGAUCCCUAGCUGGUCUGAGAGGAUGACCAGCCACACGGAACUGAGACACGGUCCAGACUCCUACGGGAGGCAGCAGUGGGGAAUAUUGCACAAUGGGCGCAAGCUGAUGCAGCCAUGCCGCGUGUGUGAAGAAGGCCUUCGGGUUGUAAAGCACUUUCAGCGA